AAUUUGUAAGUACCCCCUCUCGUUUUGUAACAAAAAAUUCUUCUUUCGUUUUUCCCUCUUAUCUUGGCGCCGUUUUUUUCCCCUUUAUAUCCGAGACACGACGACUGUCCCAAGCAUCUAGAAACAUAAAACCGCCGGCGUUGGCGGCGCAGCCCCAUGCGACGGCGUUAUCCCCGUCCAGCUUCAGCACGGAGAACUUUCUGAAUUUGGAUUCACUUUAACACGUUAAUUCUGCUUCUCUGCUCAUUACUCAUUUGAUUUCCGACUUUCCCCAUCGAUUAGCCCGAAUCCCGAAACCCUAACACCAGCGAUGGCGACGGACACAUCGGUACCCGACAAUGUCGACGAAUACUCGCCUUCUUCAACCGUCAUCAACUUCGACCGCCCCGUUCCCUUGCUCCGGGGACCGUUACCGGCGGGUCCCUCCGACGACCUGUCGGAGGGUCCGUACGUGCUGGCCUUCCGAGACUCGCGCGCGUGGGCGUCCUCGUUCACGGCCUGCGAGCGCAAAAUCGUGGAGCAGUGCGAGGAGGGGGCGAGGAUCGGGUGCGCCGUGAGCGCUUCGCGAAAGUGCAUGCCUCCGUGGUGGAAGGCUCUGGCGGGUCCCAAACUCUCCGAUCUGAAGGAGCGGGAGCAGUGCGAAGUGCGCGAGAUGGCGGAAUGUUUCGCCGCGGCGAAGGAGAAGUGCGUUGGCUUCGCCAGGGACAAGUGUGUGGUUCCCUUCAGGGACGCGCGGAUUAGGGUUAGGAAAGGGGUUUUGAGUUACAAGGAUGCUGUGAAGUUGAUUGGUUGGGCUUCGAUGUCUGGGAGCGAGAAGAGCUUGUGGUUGAUGAGUCAGUUGGGUGGUGGUGGUGAUUUGGGAGUGACCAAUUGCAGGGCUAGUGAGUUGGUGGGAUCUGAUUAUUAUGUGCAAUGCGUUUUGGGUGAGCGGCAACAUGGCACCGGAAACUGAGCUUAAAUUUGUCCUUUGACACCGGAGUUAUCAGAAUUGUCAUCUCACACAGCAUAGUGAAUCAAGUAUCCAGUUCGUUUUCCAUGCUCCUCUCUGCAUCGGAUGUCCAUCGAUUAACCUCUGGUAAUUUCAAUUCAGAAGUUAAACAAAUUAAUGGUUCCUUUAGCCACUUGGGAAUAGCUCAGGUAUCAAGGGAGAAAUUAGGGUUGGGUUAGAAGUCAUAAGAUUAUUCUUGAAUGUAAAUCAAUGAAGCUUCCCAUUUUUUUGGGUAGACUAGCAUGUUGGGGAAAGAUGUCCCGAUGUCUUCUAUUACCCAGGGUUUUAUGGGCCAAAUCUCUUUUGCAUGUUUUGGCCCACUAGAGUUGCUGGCCUGAACAAAGUUUAGACACUUGGUAAUUUCGCUUGCCAAACAUGAAUGUUGGACAACUGGAUAGGGUUGGGCCUAUUUCUAUUGACCAUUCUCCUUAAAGUCAUCCCUUUUCUUUCUCUCUCUCUAAUUGCAAUUUGCAAACGGGGCCUUCUCAAUUUGUUAAUUUCUAAUACCUUUGACAUUGUGGGGCAUUUAGUUUGUGAAAUAUUUUAUCAUGUGGGAAUUUUACUUGUACUCCCAUGUUCAUUACAAGUUUCCAAAAUAAAAUUGCAUGUAAAAAUGAUCCCCAAGAAUAAUUUAUUAAAUUACACGUAUACUGUUAGGCCUUGCAGAUAUGAUUGCAACUUUGCAACAUUAGGACUAUAUUGGAAUUUGCAUUAUAUAAUUUAUUCCUUCACUCCAUCUUUAGCUCUCAAACAAGGGGAGGGAAGAGAGUUCCCCUGCUGUAUUCACUUAAACAUCCAAGUGGAAGUAGCUCUUGCCCAACAUCAUAAGCUAUAGACUUUUUACUUUUAAUUGAAUUAGAAGUAUUUGAUAAGAUUAACCUAUAAGUUAGUUGAUAAAUGUAAAAUAACAUAAAAUAAUUUUUAUGAUAGACAAAAUUAUUUCUAAAUUAUAAAGGAUAUUUUUUUUUUCAAGUUAAUUAAUAAGAAUAAAAAAUAAAAAAAGAGGUUAAGAACUUAUAAGGUAUGAAUUAUUUCAAUUAGUUUAUAAAAAUAAGUUAAAAGUUACUAAAAUAUUUUUUUGUAUUAAACAAAUUUAUUUUUAUUAAAUUAACUUAUAAGUUAAGGAGCUUAGCUUCUAAUGUCAUGCCAAAUACAUUCUAAAUUAGCUUAGCUUGGCUUAGUUUAAUUUUUUCUUUCUUCAUGUUUGGGCUCAAACCAAACUGAACUUAUGAAACCUGAUUUUCAUUGGUUCUGAUCUCUAGUUAUCAUUUUAUAAAUAUGAUGACCUGAUCCAAUGAUAUUAGUAUUAUUGUUUUAGGAAAUUAGUUUUAUUACACAUAAUUCUUGAUAACCAUUUUAUGCUAGUCAUUAUUUAUUUGGAUAUUGCGAUUCAUUCAAUAAAUAGAUGAGAACUCACUUGUAAAAGAGGAACAGCAUGGAAAUAUAGAGGAGCGGGUAGGUUAGAGACGUUUAGAAUUUGACAUUGUUUAGUGAGGAUGAAAUAUAAAGAAAUCAAAUUAAAAGUAUGUGGGUCUCACAUAAAAGAUUUUUCGUGCAUAGAAAAGGAGAAAUAGCGGGGAAGUGUGAGAAAUAACUGGGAGUGCAUUUACUAAAAAAAAAAAAAAAAAA